GCAGAGGGCCCUUAUUUUGCAGAUACUGCAAGAAAUCUGGGCACUUAAUUGAUAAGUGCUACUAGAUCCAUGGGUUUCCUCAAAACAUUAAUUACACCAAGGGAAGGAAAUCUGUAGCUGCUCAUGUCUCCACUGGUGAUGACUGUGUGUCUAUUAAUCAUGGGAAUCCUAAUUUGUCUGUUCCUCUUGGGGAUCCUUCUGCCAACCAUCACCAUG
rnacentral:lncRNA from 1 species